GGGGGUGUAUGCAAAAGGCAAAGCGGGCUGAUUUUCAAUCAGUCGCCCAAGUGGCUUUGCGGGUUCGAACCCCGCCACCCCUGCCA
rnacentral:tRNA from 1 species